UAUUUUGUUAUAUUAUUCAUAUUUCUGUGUUAUUCAGCGGAGUACAGACUGUCACAUUAAGCACAAGAGACAAAAAGAUGAAUUAAUGUGGUGUUUGCUGUAGGCUCUACCCCUUCUCACUCCCUCAAUAAGCCAGACCUUUCUGUCCCAAGUUUAGGGGUGGCCGGCAUGACCUGACCUCCUCCUUGUUGUCUACACUGCCACAACGAUAAAGUUAUCAAUCAAUCAAUCAGGGGAGGAGAAAACUUGAUAAUUGUAGGCGGUAAAGCUCCAGUGUGCAGCGAUACAAAACCUCAAGUGUGGUGGGAGACUGAAGGAGACAGAAACACAACACUUGAGGAAAGAAAUGUGUGGUGGGAGACUGAAGGAAACAGAAACACAACACUUGAAGAAAUGGAGACACAACACUUGAGGAAAUGGAAACACAACACUUGAGGAAAGAAAUGUGUGGUGGGAGACUGAAGGAGAUGGAAACAUAACACUUGAGGAAAUAAAUGUGUGAUGGGAGACUUAAAGAAACAGAAACACACCACUUAAGGAAAUGGAGACACGACACUGGAGGCAACAGAAACACAACACUUGAGGAAAGAAGAGAACAGGAAGAGGGUGGUUACAAUAUAUUAAUUUCUUCACUUACAAUCUACACAAUAGCACACACCAUUAACAAGACUGAGUUUUCUCUUAACCUUAUAUACAAAGCUGAAAACAAACAACACUUGAGCCUUGUUCCUCCAGACUAAAUGGUCCAGGCACCAGUCCGGACCAUGAAAAAGUCCUGAUAAGACAUUUAUUUAUUUUUUUAUGAAGGGAAAAGAGCCAGCCAAGAGCAAAAAAAAAUAAAACUAAAAUAAAAUAAAUAAAUAAUAAAUAAAAAAAAUGGCCCGCUUGAGUGUCUGGCUCUCUACAAAGGGAAAAAUGUCAGCCAAAAUCAGGGAGCAAAUGCCUCGAUACAUUUUCUCCUCAAGACUUUUUGAGGUAAAUGCAAAAAAUCUAGUCUAUUUUGGUUUCCUGACCAAUUAAACCAAAACAAACUUGAUCUAAGUUAACCUAACUCUAAAACUAACCUAACAACAAUAACUGA